rnacentral:rRNA from 1 species
GGUAUUACCGGGGAAUUAUUGGGCGUAAGAGCUCGUAGGCGGUUUGUCGCGUCUAUCGUGAAAGUCCGAGGCUCAACCUCGGAUCUGCGGUGGGUACGGGCAGACUAGAGUGAUGUAGGGGAGACUGGAAUUCCUGGUGAAGCGGUGAAAUGCGCAGAUAUCAGGAGGAACACCGAUGGCGAAGGCAGGUCUCUGGGCAUUUACUGACGCUGAGGAGCGAAAGCAUGGGGAGCGAACAGGAUUAGAUACCCUGGUAGUCCAUGCCGUAAACGUUGGGCACUAGGUGUGGGGGACAUUCCACGUUUUCCGCGCCGUAGCUAACGCAUUAAGUGCCCCGCCUGGGGAGUACGGCCGCAAGGCUAAAACUCAAAGGAAUUGACGGGGGCCCGCACAAGCGGCGGAGCAUGCGGAUUAAUUCGAUGCAACGCGAAGAACCUUACCAAGGCUUGACAUGUUCCAGAUCGCCUCAGAGAUGGGGUUUCCCUUCGGGGCUGGUUCACAGGUGGUGCAUGGUUGUCGUCAGCUCGUGUCGUGAGAUGUUGGGUUAAGUCCCGCAACGAGCGCAACCCUCGUUCCAUGUUGCCAGCGGGUUAUGCCGGGGACUCAUGGGAGACUGCCGGGGUCAACUCGGAGGAAGGUGGGGAUGACGUCAAAUCAUCAUGCCCCUUAUGUCUUGGGCUUCACGCAUGCUACAAUGGCCGGUACAAUGGGUUUGCGAUACUGUGAGGUGGAGCUAAAUCCCUAAAGCCGGUCUCAGUUCGGAUUGGGGUCUGCAAUGCGACCCCAUGAAGUCGGAGUCGCUAAGUAAUCGCAGAUCAGCAACGCUGCGGGUGAAAUACGUUCCCGGGCCCUUGGUACACACCCGCCCGUCAAGUUCACGAAAGUUGGGUAAACACCCCGGAAGCCGAAUGGCCUUAAUACACCCUUUGUGUGGGGGAGUCGUCAAGUUGGGAACUGGCGAUUGGGAACGAAGUUCUGUUACCGACGAGACCAAGGAGGGG